rnacentral:lncRNA from 1 species
CUACAGAUCGGCCCAUUUCUGGCUAUUGCAGCCUUUUGGGGAGUGAAACAGCAGAUGGAAAACCUUUCUCUCUCUCUCUCUCUCUCUCUCUGUAACUCCACCUGUCAAAUAAAUAAAUAAAAUCUUUUUAAAAAAGACAGUCUUUGAAAUGCACCUGUCCAAGAUCUCUUACAGCCUUAUUUAUCUUCUCUGAAUUAUUUCUGAUCUUCAGUGUCUACUGCAGAGUACAGGAGUCCUCCAGCAUCAGAAUCAAAGAGGCCCAGCUCCACUCCCUGCUUGCUUGUUCCUGGUAGCCAACAUCUAUUCUCUGCUUCUAUGAUUUGAAUUAAUGUACAUUCCACAUGUCUAAGAGUAAACACACAACCUAGAGAUAAUGAGACCUUCAGAUGUGUACUUCUUUGGGAUUUGUCUCUAUCAGGAUUUCUCCAAGGUUUUCUAUGAAAACUCUUUGCAAUAGCAUUUUGUUGCUAUGACAACCCAGAACAGCAAUUGGAAAUUAGAACAGUGAAGGUGAGAUGGGAAAGACAUACAAAUAGUUCCUAUUUAGCUAAAUACUAUUACUUUUCAAUUUUAUAAAUCCAGGGAAAAUUGUCAUCAAGUAUUCAAAAAUAAUAGUUUUCACCCUUAAAAUCAUAUAGAGUGCCCAGUUAUAUUUGAAUCACGUAUUACUUAUUAAAUAAGAUAAAUCAACUCCUUAAUUUUUCUGAAUCUCAAAAGAAGUUUUUAAAAGUCUAUUUGAGCUUUGAUAACCUGUUGUAUAUUCUGAGCAUUUAGAUUGCUAGAUCAGGAUAUUAUAGCUUUUAAUUGAUUAAAACUUUGGUUUUCAAAAUGUGUUUUGCAAAUCUUCCACAAAAU